rnacentral:lncRNA from 1 species
CAAAUACCCCCACUAUGGUUUCGCACUUUCUCACUUUAGUACCAUGUGGUUUAAAAUAUAUCAAGUUAGUACCUUAUGGUUUCGCACUUUCUCAUUUUAGUACCCUAUGGUUUCAAGUGUAUCAAAUUAGGACUCUAUGUUUUUAUUUUUGUAUCAAGUUAGUACCAUGUGGUUUUAAUUUUUUCUUUUUAUUAUCCAUUUCGGAGUAUAUAAUUUAAUGAAAUAUUAAACCAUAGGGUACUAAAGUGAGAAAGUGCGAAACCACGUGAUACUAACUUGAUACACUUGAAAUUAUAGGGUACUAAAGUGAGAAAGUGCGAAACUACAAGGUACUAACUUGAUACAUUUUAAAUCACAUGAUACUAAAGUAAGAACGUGCGAAACCAUAAGGGGGUAUUUGAAGUUUCUCCAAAUAAAUAUUUUAUUUUCAUUUGAUAUAAUA